CACACCAAGUCAAGUGAAUGAGAGCAUCCAUGGGGAUAUAAAAAGGAAGGACAGGAAGAAGGAAGGGAGGCGGUGUAGGGAAGCAGUCGGGUUGUGGCUGUGGAAGAGAAGGCAGGCUUCAUAGAUUUAUUGACAGAUGGAUGGAAAGAAAAAGGAAAGAGUCUUCAAUUGCAUAGGAGAAAGAAUUCUGAUCAGAGGGUAAAGAACUGAAUUGGAUUUCUAUUUGGCUGUUUGGGAUUCGUUUUGAUACGGGACUGUGUUGUGAUUUUUGUUUACUUUUUUGGAGUUUUCUUGUUUGUUUUGUGCUGCCCCAACUUAUGGUUUAGUUCUUUCUUACACUGUUUAUAUUGGGUUGUUUUUAGAGAAAUAACAUACACUGCGAGACUCUUGGGAUUUUAGAAGGUGCUGUAUUUUAUGCUCUCGUGGGAUUGUGUAAAUGUUAUAUUUCCCUUCUUGCUGUCACUGAGCGUGUUGGAGACUUUGCUCGUUACGAUUACUUGUUGUGGGUCCGGCUCCAUCGAAGAGGUGCCUCGGGUUUGAGUGGACCGUGUCGGAAGGCCUGCUACCUGUGAAAGAAAAGAAAGAAGGAUUGCCGAAGAGAAUAGCUGCAGUUUUGUAGAGUGGAUCACCUGGGUGAGAAUACAAGUUCGCUGCCGGUUCCAGAGGACAAGUACUGCCUGGAAAAGAAGGGAAGUGACAUUUAUUAUUAUUCAUCUACUUCUGAGAAAUUGAUAACUUUAAACUUUACAUUGAUAACUCAUACUUACCCACACUGAGUUGGCUCCGCGUGUGUGUUCUGUCAGGGCAUGCUAGAGGCCCGCUAGGGUGACCCUUAUCUGUCCAACGUCGAGGGUCAAGGUCCAGUGGUCCACCAGUCCAGGGUGCAACAGCACAGAAGAGAGAGAGAGAGAGGGAGAUCCACGAGGAUCAAAGAUAGGCUAAGGGGAAGUAACCAGCUGGACCAUACUGGUGAAUGCGAUAGUUCCAUUUACCGUUGUAAACGUCCUUGACGGCCUCCCUUCUUUGCUCUCUCCCUUUCUCAGGUUUUCUAGGAUCUCCGUCUGCAUUUCUAUCAGCGGUUCAGUACAUUGUUUGCAGUGGGGUCCACUGGCGUUUUGGGCUUAGAGGACAGCGGACGUUGGUACGAGUGGACAAUUGGGUUCCUGAGGAACCACUAGAGACUGAGGCGUCAGCUGUGAUGAUGGGUUUCAAAUGACACUAAGGAAGUAAGGGGAGCAGCUGCGAUGGAGACUGAAGCCGGAUCUUGAAAUGGACUGCUGUCUUCACUCAGAAAGUUAGUGUUGUACCAGUUAUGUGGAGUUUCAUCCCCAAAUAUAUUAAAGAAAAUAGGUCAAAUGCCACUCAUUUUUGGCUGUGGUUUUGUAACUAAUAACAAAUAAAA